rnacentral:rRNA from 1 species
UACGUAGGGUGCAAGCGUUGUCCGGAAUUAUUGGGCGUAAAGAGCUCGUAGGCGGUCUGUCGCGUCGGCUGUGAAAACCCGGGGCUCAACCCCGGGCCUGCAGUCGAUACGGGCAGACUAGAGUGCGGUAGGGGAGACUGGAAUUCCUGGUGUAGCGGUGAAAUGCGCAGAUAUCAGGAGGAACACCGGUGGCGAAGGCGGGUCUCUGGGCCGGAACUGACGCUGAGGAGCGAAAGCGUGGGGAGCGAACAGG